GCUAUCUCCUAAAGCAGUCAUUCUGAAACCCAAUCUGGGGACAGUGCAGACUAAAUAAAAUUUCAUUUUGAUUUGGCCUCCCGCUGAGAAUGGGACUGCUUUGUUUCAGCCGACAGAACCAGCAAGCCAGAAAGGUGUUGAAUACACAAAUACUGACUUAACGGACAAUUAUGAUGACACUGGAAGAGGGACAGCAUCUGCACCACUUCCAUUUUCAGAACAAAGAAUUUGAGUUUCAGACCUGAAGCAGCUGGAGGGGUUCAUGUGACACAUUUGUCUGUGUUCAGUACACAUAUCAUGAAUGCGGUGAGAGAUAAAAGAAGCAAUAUAGUUGGGAUGCUCAAGCUUUCAAAACCUGCUUUCGUAUUAAGCAAGAAACGCCUCUUAAAACACAUAUUAUGGGACCAGAUGAACAUGGCCUUCAGACUUGGAGAAGUAUUUAAAAUGUUCCAGUAGAUGAAGCUACAGUGCAAGCACAGAAGAAAGAAACAUUUUUCCUCCAAAAAUUUGGUGGAGCUUGUGUGCCCAAAACAGAGUUUUCUUACUCCUUGAACAAGUCCAGCUCAUCCUAUUAUCCUUGGAAAAGCUGGGAAAAAAAGGACAGGGGACCAAAUGGACUUCCAGUGCGAUACAACAUUCCUAUGAUCCCAAAUGCUGCAGGAUUCAUUCAUGCUACAAGACCUUCAGCAUGAUGGAGAAACUUGUGAAGUAACAGAUAUCCUAGGUCAUUUCGCUCUUUCUCAAAAAACUGUUUUUCUCAGCUCUCAGUGUUAUUUUUGAUAUAUUGGGAGAGCCCGCAAGAUAAGCAAUCAGCUUGUAGCAGACUUGCAGUUUUGAAGAACAGAUGAUUCAGUCACUGGGAGUCUGCUCUGCAUCAGUAGUAUCUGUUCUAUAGCAACUACAGAUGAGCAGAAACAGUAGGUUUUUUUUUAGUUAAUCUGUAGAAACUUUUCUACAUGCCACAGUGACCAAAAUUGAUUAUAUGGACUUUUAUUUCAGUAUUUUCUUUGGGUCCUAUUAUGUGGUAAAGAUGACUGAUUAUAGUAAAAGAAAAAAAAAUAGAUUAAGAAAAAUCUAUAGAAGAGAUUAUGUGCCAAAAAAAAAAAAAAAAAAAAAAAAAACCUGUCCAUACACAGAGAUUCAACAACAUAGCACGAAUAUGGAUACAUACCAAUUGAAUCACUUUCACAGAAGUGCUGAAUUAAACUUUAAGAAUAAUU
rnacentral:lncRNA from 7 species